UCUCCGUAGGUGAACCUGCGGAGGGAUCAUUACAGAGUUCAUGCCCUACCGGGUAGAUCUCCCACCCUAUGUUAUUAUUACUUUGUUGCUUUGGCGGGCCGUUAGGCUCCGGCCCGACUACCGGCCCCGGCUGGUAAGCGCCCGCCAGAGGACCCAAAACCCUGAAUAUUAGUGUCGUCUGAGUACUAUAUAUUAGUUAAAACUUUCAACAACGGAUCUCUUGGUUCUG
rnacentral:misc_RNA from 1 species